rnacentral:rRNA from 1 species
UACGGAGGGUGCAAGCGUUAUCCGGAUUCACUGGGUUUAAAGGGUGCGUAGGUGGGCAGGUAAGUCAGUGGUGAAAUCUCCGGGCUUAACCCGGAAACUGCCGUUGAUACUAUCUGUCUUGAAUAUAGUGGAGGUGAGCGGAAUAUGUCAUGUAGCGGUGAAAUGCUUAGAUAUGACAUAGAACAUCGAUUGCGAAGGCAGCUCGCUACGCUAUUAUUGACACUGUGGCACGAAAGCGUGGGGAUCAAACAGG